rnacentral:lncRNA from 1 species
AGGGACCAGGAAUGGAAAAGAAACAGAAAAAUGCAUUAAACAAAAUCCCUUUUCUCAAAGUUGCUGACAAUGUAGUCUCCAGCAAACAUAAUCCCUGCCCUUGAGGAUCCUCUCUUCCUUGUUAGAAAGAUAUGCAUGUACCCAAAUUAAGACAAGCCCGAGGAAUCACCGAAUAGCCGAAUCAAGAAGGAACUUGGCUUUUCAGAGUCCCAAAUACAUCUCAGUGACAUGGAGGAGAUGUCUCCCUUGUAAAUCCAGAAGUGGAUGUGAGAAAGUAGAGGUUGGAUUGGGAGAAAGCUUGCCAAUAUUUGACUGGAAAACGCAGAAGACAACACUGAAGUACAGAACCUGAAAACUUCUAUGGAAUCAAGAAAAUUUGAAAUGAUCAAACAUUAUAUAAAAGCAUCCAGUGGAGUGCAAAAGUUUGACCAUUCAGGGUAGACUAUGGAGUAAAGUGGUUGGAAAGGAUGUGAUUCCAACAGCAGUGUGGAAAGGAGAAACGAACUGGUGUGGUUUGAUGGUCAAAUGUAAGGAGACUCACUUAUCUGAUGGGUUCUAUCUUUCUCUGCAGAAAAAGGGGUCAUCUAUCAAAAACGAGGAAAGAGGCAGAGCAGUCAAAGGUUUUAGGUAAUUAGAGAAGAUUUUCACUAACCCACAUGGAAAAUGAAAAGUGAGUUGAAUAGAGGAAUGAGAAGGAUUGGUGAGCAGAGUUGAGG